rnacentral:rRNA from 1 species
UGAGCAACCUGCCCUUGACCCUGGAAUAACAGCUGGAAACAGCUGCUAAUACCGGAUAUGACCUCCGAUGGCAUCAUCCGGAGGUGGAAAGCUCCGACGGUCAAGGAUGGGCUCGCGGCCUAUCAGCUUGUUGGUGAGGUAACGGCUCACCAAGGCUUCGACGGGUAGCCGGCCUGAGAGGGCGACCGGCCACACUGGGACUGAGACACGGCCCAGACUCCCUAGGGAGG